GACAGAGGGUGCAAACGUUGUUCGGAAUUACUGGGCGUAAAGCGCGUGUAGGCGGCGAGGCAAGUCGGGUGUGAAAGCCCUGGGCUCAACCCAGGAAGUGCACUCGAUACUGCCUAGCUAGAGUCCCGGAGAGGUUGGUGGAACUCUCGGUGUAGAGGUGAAAUUCGUAGAUAUCGAGAAGAACACCGGUGGCGAAGGCGGUUCUCUGGGACGGUACUGACGCUGAGACGCGAAAGCGUGGGGAGCGAACAGG
rnacentral:rRNA from 1 species